UACAGAGGGUGCGAGCGUUAUCCGGAUUCACUGGGUUUAAAGGGUGCGUAGGCGGAUUGGUAAGUCCGUGGUGAGAUCCCCGAGCUUAACUUGGGAACUGCCGUGGAUACUAUCAGUCUUGAAUAUCGUGGAGGUAAGCGGAAUAUGUCAUGUAGCGGUGAAAUGCUUAGAUAUGACAUAGAACACCAAUUGCGUAGGCAGCUUACUACUCGAUCAUUGACGCUGAGGCACGAAAGCGUGGGGAGCAAACAGG
rnacentral:rRNA from 1 species